UAGCCGUCUCGUAUAACGUCGUGCUACAAAGUAGCAAAAUGAGAUGCAAUGACCCGCUUACAGCCGUAACCGAAUGACCGUUCUCGCUCACAGUCGGUUCCGUCUUAUUCGCUUUGCUGCUUCUAUAGGAAGGUAGGUACGUAUACGUAGACAAAGUAGCAAAUCAAUAUUAUUCAGCAACCGUACCGUAAAGUGGCUGGUUGAAGGUGCUUUGCUCACUGAGACAGCAAUUGAACCGACUGGGCCGAACGACCGUACAUCGGACGAGAUGCAACAGAUUCCUGAGAGGCGAUCAUCCACAUCACGAGUGACCGGAGUUGGCCGGCGCUAGGGUGGUACUGACAUACAUUACUCCGGGUACCGUUUUGCUGAACCUUCAGCAAGCAGAUAAGCAGGAAUAACCCCUGCUGGGCAUCGUGAAACUCCGAUUCUAUAUACCUUUUCGCCUAUUUUGAUACUAAUUUUACAACAAAUCCGCCCAGGGGAAGUGGAUAAGAAAAAUUAUACUUCUAACGGGUGGCAACUAAAAUUUUGGAAUUUUUUCGCGGCCCUUAUGCUUAACAACAAACGAGCUCAGAGAGAAACGAGAUUUUGCUUAAAAUGGCGUCAAAACAAGAAGCAUUUCGGGAGCGUGUUGUACAUUUCUACGAACUGCAACAGAAAUCUCGGCAAAAACUAUACGGCACAACAUUUAAAAAGCAAAUAUGUUGCGGCUUCGACUGUUUACGAUAUCCUAAGAUAUCCAUCAACUAUUCGCAAGCAAGGCAGGGGAAGACCAGCCAAAAUUAUGGACGCAGAAGGACAUCGUUCUCUUUCUUGUUUCUUCAACAACAAGCCCUCUAGUUUGGCUAUCAAUUAAGAUGCACCUGACGAAUGUUUGAAGAAAAUUUUGAUCCCGUUUCUACAAAACAUCAUGCAGAUGGACAAUACGUAUUUUGGCCGGAUAGAGCAUCAUCGCAUUACGCCAAAAAACACAAUCGUUCCUGAAUACCCAUUCAAUCCCAUUUUUACCCAAAAACUACGACCCGAAAAAUCUGUCUCAGUGCGCCCAAUCGAAGAUUUCUUUGGGAUUUUGAAUUCCUUGGUGUACAAAAAUAACUGGAGAGCUACGAAUUGCAAACAGUUGAUUGGUAGAAUCAAGAGAUGCAUUCGCAAAGUUGACAUAACGGCUGUACAACGCUCCUGUUUCUACGUCAAACGAAAGCUUCGCCGAACAACCAAUUACGGACCGUUUUCAAAUGUACACUAAUUUUUUUU